GGAAUUUUCCCCAAUGGGCACUUUGGCCUGAGGGAGCAACGCCGCGUGCGGGAGGACGCCCUUCGGGGUGUAAACCGCUGUUCGUGGGGACGAAGACCUGACGGUACCCACGGAGGAAGGCCCGGCUAACUACGUGCCAGCAGCCGCGGUAAUACGUAGGGGCCGAGCGUUGUCCGGAGUUACUGGGCGUAAAGCGCGCGCAGGCGGCCCGCUGCGCCCGGCGUGAAAGCCCCCGGCUCAACCGGGGAAGGGCGUCGGGGACGGGCGGGCUUGAGGGCGGAAGGGGCUGGUGGAAUGCCCGGUGUAGUGGUGAAAUGCGUAGAGAUCGGGCGGAACACCCGUGGCGAAGGCGGCCAGCUGGGCCGACCCUGACGCUGAGGCGCGAAGGCGUGGGGAGCGAACGGGA
rnacentral:misc_RNA from 1 species